rnacentral:rRNA from 1 species
GAUUAACGCUGGCGGCGUGCCUAACACAUGCAAGUCGAGCGGCAGCGAGUUUUACACUGAAUUCUGGAAGCUUCUAGUUGAAAGAGAAGAUUUAUUCAAGAAUUUUGUGUAAAAUGUCGGCGAGCGGCGGACGGCUGAGUAACGCGUGGGAACGUACCCCAAAGUGAGGGGUAACGCAUCGAAAGGUGUGCUAAUACCGCAUAUGGUCUUCGGAUUAAAGCCUUCGGGCGCUUUGGGAACGGCCUGCGUAAGAUUAGAUAGUUGGUGGGGUAAUGGCCUACCAAGUCGACGAUCGUUACCUGGUAUGAGAGGCUGAGCAGUCAGACUGGAACUGAGACACGGUCCAGACUCCUACGGGAGGCAGCAGUGAGGAAUCUUCCACAAUGGGCGAAAGCCUGAUGGAGCAACGCCGCGUGCAGGAUGAAGGCCUUCGGGUUGUAAACUGCUUUUAUAAGUGAGGAUUAUGACAGUAACUUAUGAAUAAGGAUCGGCUAACUACGUG